rnacentral:rRNA from 1 species
AUUGAACGCUGGCGGCAGGCCUAACACAUGCAAGUCGAACGAGUGGCGGACGGUUGCGUAAUGUCUGGGAAACUGCCUGAUGGAGGGGGAUAACUACUGGAAACGGUAGCUAAUACCGCAUACCAUCAGCUGUGCCCAAAUGGGAUUUGCUAGUUGGUGGGGUAAAGGCUAACCAAGGCGACGAUCCCUAGCUGGUCUGAGAGGAUGACCAGCCACCCUGGAAGCGAGACACGGGCCAGACGCCGACGGGUGGCAGCAAUGGGGAAUAUUGCACGAUGGGCGCAAGAAUGAUGCAGCGAUGCCGAGUGUAAGAAGAAGGCCUUCGGGUUGUAAAGUACUUUCAGCGGGGAGGCGUUACCGGCAGAAGAAGCACCGGCUAACUCCGUGCCAGAAGCCGCGAUAAUAC